ACCAUUUAAUAUGUCACUACCUGUAAAAUAAGACUAAGAUUAUCAAGGAAUGAAUGAACUCCUACGUUUAGUUCAAAUGCAAAAGCUAAUUUCUUUAUAAACAUGCAGCACCACAUUCUUAACAAACACUAUAAUUUUGUUCCAUGUGCCAAUAUUGCCUCCUGAAAAAAAAAAAUCUAAGAAGACUUGAGAUGAUUUAGUGUCUCAAGAAAGAUGUCAGUUGACAGCAACCCAUCAGAUUUCACGAAUCUUUUGAUGACAAACUUGGUAAUUCAUUGUCAUUCCUCCCUCUCUCAACAGAUACACACACACACCCCUGUAUGUAUGUUUCCUUCUAUUUUAUAGGUAAGCAUCUGAAAUAUGUAGUAGACACAUGACUGUAUGAAUGUUUUACUCCUGCUAGAGGUGCAGCAGCUUUCUCACUACUUCAUCCUCUUCCUUUCAGGUGUGGCGUGUACGAACCUUACUGCUCUUGUGCGAGAGUCUAUGCCUAGACAACAGGUGACGGCUCCCAUGAACACUCCUUGCACUGAUAUGGUCUGUAGGGACUUCGGGAGUGCCACGUGCUCUAAGGUAAUCGUGCUGGUCUGAUGAACUACUGAGAAAUGCAGGUAUGUUCCCAGACCCGAGCACCCUCAGUUUUUGGGUCUCCUUUCUUUCUAAUUUUUUUUUUAAGAACAGGAGGGCUUGAGUAUAUAAAUACAGUAUGUGUAAAGGGGAAAAAUGGGAAACUCAGAAAGUAAUGCAAGUUAUAUGGAACUAUAGUUAUAUAAUAGGAUCAACUUGCCCCAAAGUCUAAAUCUUGUUAUAUCCUAAGCUGAUGCCUAAAAUUUUAAACGAGCAAGUCAUAUUAUGUUCCUUCAUGUGGUAGUUUAUUACUUUGUAAUGAAGUGAAGAGUUACAUCUCAAUAUAACAUUCAGAGCAAUUUUACAGUUUUUUUUUUCCUGUAAGCAGUCUGACAUUGAUGAAGCUGGUGUUGAAAGCACAGUUGGUACAGAGUUGUGCAUCAACCAAGCAAAACCAGAACAACUGAGAUCAAGUCAAGAACCCUUGGUCUAUACUAUGCCCUGAUUCGUAAUUCUUCCUGAAUCGCAAUUAUCCAGCUAUCUUCUCUGCAGUCUUAUUCAAUUAGACACAGCCCCACUGCUUCCAGAGUCCUGAGACUAUCUGUCAAAGUGCCUUGCGAGUGAUCAUUUGACAUUCAAUUAUUUAAUGCCGAUGGAUAUCAAUAUUUUACAUGCAUAACACAAAGAAAUGCAGAAGUCCAAAAUUAGAUGAUACACGCAGGAGAAAGAUCCUGAAAGAGGAGUCAGCCUCUCCCCUGAACCUCCAGAGUUCUUCAUUCAAAUCUUUAUCACGGUUACAGCAGCAGGAUCUGUGUUGUUGUCAUCGUCUUAUCCUAAUGGAGGACCUUGUACACAAGAAGCUCCCAGUAACUUUUUACUGAAUAUUUGCCUGCUGUAUGAAUGAAUGGAAAGGGGCGCCCUGUGUUCAUGAAAUCGCUCACUGUUUGCAGCCCAUUUCAAUGUCCUGCUUUGCUAGAGAUUUGCCACUUUUGGAAAGAUACUGCCUCCAGGUAAAGUCUGUUUUAAGAUGGACUAAGAAGUUCAGAGUUGCUGCAAGAGGGCCCUGGGGAGGAAGUACUAAGAGGAAUAUGUUUACAAUACACUUAAAGCUUCAGCUCGAAGUCUGCUAGUCUGCCAUACAGCUGACCAUUCUGCUGUCCAUUCUGCAUUGUAUCUGCCUGGGAGUCUUUCUGACUUUUGGAAGCCCACACCUUGGCUCGCCUCUUCUUAUCUCUAUGUCCAUC